GACGAACGCUGGCGGCGUGCUUAACACAUGCAAGUCGAACGGAAAGGCCCUGCUUUUGUGGGGUGCUCGAGUGGCGAACGGGUGAGUAACACGUGAGUAACCUGCCCUUGACUUUGGGAUAACUUCAGGAAACUGGGGCUAAUACCGGAUAGGAGCUCCUGCUGCAUGGAGGGGGUUGGAAAGUUUCGGCGGUUGGGGAUGGACUCGCGGCUUAUCAGCUUGUUGGUGGGGUAGUGGCUUACCAAGGCUUUGACGGGUAGCCGGCCUGAGAGGGUGACCGGCCACAUUGGGACUGAGAUACGGCCCAGACUCCUACGGGAGGCAGCAGUGGGGAAUAUUGCACAAUGGGCGGAAGCCUGAUGAAGCAACGCCGCGUGCGGGAUGACGGCCUUCGGGUUGUAAACCGCUUUCGCCUGUGACGAAGCGUGAGUGACGGUAAUGGGUAAAGAAGCACCGGCUAACUACGUG
rnacentral:rRNA from 1 species